GGCCCAUCUUCUCUUUCUUCUUUUUCCGGUUUUGGUCUUCAAGAUCCUCCAGUGACUGUACAAUAGGGUUGUGCAGUUUCUUCGGAACUGGGCCGGGACUGUAGCCGUUGCAGAGGGAGUGCGUCCGGUGUCGAGGGGAGUUGAUGUCGCUGGGUGUGGACGACCGGUCGCCUUCGGCGGCAGAUGCGUCGGAGAUGAAGGAAGGCUGCCCGGAGUGGCAGGGGCUCACCCUGACCACCUGCCGGUCCGCAGGGUGAGGGGGGUGUGAGUGGUAGAGAGUCUGUGGAUUCUGCCGGAUGGCUGCGGUCAGCGGAAGGUCCGCCUGCACCACCCACUCCUGGUUGUCAUUGAGCACCGUCUGGCUCGGCAUGGCGAGGGAAUGCCGCUUGGGGACGUUCUUGGUCAGCGUGGCUAAGGACUGCUUGGCCAUGGCCAGCUCGGCCUCCAGCUUCUUCAUCCGGUUGUCCUUGAGGUCCAGCUGGGAGCUCAGGGCCUCGGCGUGGUCUGUGGCCUCCUUGGCUUAGCGUCGCAGCUCCCACUUCUUGCGCUCCAGCAGGUCCUUCUCCUUGGCCAGCGCUUUGACCGCGUCUUCGCUCUCCUUGCGGUGCAGCUCAUAGUUGCGGAUGAAGUCGCGGAGCUGCUCCUCGCGAUUCUCCUGCGUGGCAUACAGCUGCUGCAUCUGGCUCACCAGGUCCUUUGCCAACAUCUCCUUCAUCUGCCGGAGAAGGUGAACUUCCUCCUGGAGCCGCGCGACACCUCUUCCCGCAGGAGCUCCGGCUGGCCGCAGUCGCCAGGCCCUGCCACGUCCACGCGUGGCUCGGAGGCUGCAGGUCCCCGGGGGUGCGCGGGCCCGGCCCCCGCUCCGCAGGAAGGCGCCGGCUCGCCCUGCGCUGUCAGCUGGCGGACGCGCUCCCACGAGCCCGAGUCGGCCGUCGGCAUCCCGGGUGCCCGGGAAGCGCUGCCUGGGGGUGCUGCCCGCGGCGGCGCGAGGGGCUCCGACGGCACGCGCCGGGCUCACAGCUCCAGGGUUCACCGUCGCAUCGGGGCGCAGCCGAGCGCCACGCCUGCCGCCCGCUCGGCCGCCCCGGCGCCCCGGACCAGGGCUCUCCGUCUAGCGGGACGCCGGGUGGUCCGCGGCCGCAGCAAGCGAGGAAUUCGGCCGCCGGAGUUUUUAUUUUUAAUUUACCUGUUGAUUUAUUAUUUUUUUUCCAGCUAGGUCACCGCCUCCUUUUUGACACUAGAUGGCGGCAUAAGCCAGGUUUGCCUUGGUAUAGAAAGCAGUUGAGUGCCACCCAUUGGGAUGAGGGACAUCUCAAAGGGGACAUUCAGUAGUGUGGGAAGGAUGGUUAGGAGUUGUGCACCUACCGCCCCCUUUUGUUUCGGGGGACCUCUGAAACAAACCUACCACGUGCUGCUGCUGAACAGCCACGCUAAUUUGCUGUCUCCUUCAGCCAAGUUAGAGCAAAGGGUCCAGGGCUGGAGAGGAUCCUGCCUUCCCCUCUGUCUCUGGCUGUCCUCUGGGAUAUUUCUCUUUUCAGGCACACUAGAUGCUUUCUGUGGGUUGAGUCAGGGACAGGUCUCCUGUCAGUGAACCCACGAUGGUGGAGAAGCUGGUUGGCCAUCUCGAUCUCAUUUUUCCAGUGCAGAAUGCAUGAGUCAGGGAGUUUUCUGCACGCUUGAGUGGGGCGGAUUUGAAGGAGGGGGAUCAUGGAGAUAGAAGUCUGAGUCCCAACCGGGAGCAGUGGCUCAUGCCUGUAAUCCCAGCACUUUGGGAGGCGACGGUGGGUGGAUCACUUGAGAUGAAGAGUUUGAGACCAGCCUGGCCAACAUGGUGAAACCCCCCCCCCUAAAAAUACAAAAAGUACCCAGGUGUGGUGGUGCACACUUGUAAUCUCAACUACUCAAGAGGCUGAGGCAGGAGAAUCUGUUGAACCAGGGAAGCAUAGGUUGCAAUGAGCCAUUGCACUCCAGCCUGGGCGAUAGAGCGAGAUGACCCUGUCUCAAAAAAACCAAAAAAACAAAAAAAAAACUUGGCCAGUCACGGUGGCUUCCACCUGUAAACCCAGCAGUUUGGGAGGCCAAGGAGAGCAGAUCACGAGGUCAAGAGAUAUGGAGACCAUCCUGGCCAACAUGGUGAAACCCCAUCUCUACUAAAAAUACAAAAGUUAGCCGAGCGCAGUGGCGGGAGCCUGUAGUCCCAGCUACUCAGGAGGCUGAGGCAGGAGAAUUGCCUGAACCCAGGAGGCAGAGGUUGCGGUGAGCCGAGAUCGCGCCUUUGUACUCCAGCCUGGGUAACAAGAGUGAAAACUCCGUCUCAAAUAAAUAAAUAAAUAAAAUAAAAAAAGAAAAGGAA
rnacentral:lncRNA from 13 species